CCAAUAGCGUAUAUUAAAGUUGUUGCAGUUAAAAAGCUCGUAGUUGAACUUCGGAAUUUAUCCAUUGGUCAGGCUUAACUGUCUGUUCUGGUGUUUUGAAUUCCUACCUUCUGAGGAAUCUCCAUGCCAUUCACUUGGUGUGGUGGGGAAUCAGGACUGUUACUUUGAAAAAAUUAGAGUGUUUAAAGCAGGCUAACGUCUGAAUACAUUAGCAUGGAAUAAUAAAAUAGGACGGCUUGGUUCUAUUUUGUUGGUUUCUAGGAUCACCGUAAUGAUUAAUAGGGAUAGUUGGGGGCAUUAGUAUUCAAUUGUCAGAGGUGAAAUUCUUGGAUUUAUUGAAGACUAACUACUGCGAAAGCAUUUGCCAAAGAUGUUUUCAUUAAUCAAGAACGAAAGUUAGGGGAUCGAAGACGAUCAGAUACCGUCGUAGUCUUAACCAUAAACUAUGCCGACUAGGGAUCGGACGAAGUUAAUUUUUAAAUGACUCGUUCGGCACCUUACG
rnacentral:rRNA from 1 species